rnacentral:lncRNA from 1 species
GAGGCCAAGAGAGUAUGUCUUUUUCUUUUAGCCCGACACGCUCUAGAUCAUUCCCUUGGUGGCCGGCUGUGACAAACUAAAUGGUUAAAAGGACAUGAAACCCUAUAGUGUGAAGAAAACAAGAAGCUCACGCCUCAACCAUCUGUCUUCAACGCCGCCAUCGGCUUCAAUUCCAUUAGAUCGGGUAAGAAAUACUCACCUAUUGGAGCAGUAUAUGGGUAGAUUUUUCCCAUCUGGGCAUGAAUUAAAAUAUUUCUCAUCUUCUUUAUGAGGAUUAGAAAGGUGUAAAUUUUUUAGAUUUAUACAAAUAAGCUUUAAUUUUUCAAGAUAAGUUUGUUCGAUCCACGUAUUAGAGAUCUGUAUGAAUUUAUUGGGAUAUGGUUUUCUUGCUCAUCUGUUCCUCGCCUUAUCAUCGGGUCAGCUGUUAAUUUCCUUUUUGGCCAUUCAUGGCAUAGAGCUUGAAACAAUGAGUAAUAUGAAGAAACUACUAAAUUUUAUGCUUAUAUUUUAUUUUUAUUUUGAAGUGAGCCUGUAUUGUGUGAAAACAGAACUGGAUCAAAAAGGUCUGUUUUGGUUUCGCCACCCUUAUAAUUAGGGAAAAUAAAUAAAUAAAUUUUGUGUAAAAUACCCUCUGUUUUGUCCAGUGAUAAAGGAAAUUGGACUGAACUGUAUUUUGUCCACCUUUAUUAAAUGACAACCCAACUUGUUAUUUGGACAGGAUGGGCAUCUGAUCACAAUGUAAUGUGUUGGAUUCAUUACUCUCAAAAGGCUACUCAACUCAAACAACUUGGUUUUCCUACCAUAGAAAGAGAAAUCAGAUCAAGAAAAUGGCCCAACUGUUCAUCAUUUUCAAGAGGCUUGUCAAUUUACUAAUUGUGGAGGGUAAAUUAUGUUUCCGUACGAAUGACCAGGUGCUUUAUGAUGACAUUGCUCAAAGCGAGAUAAGUGGAAGAAUAUGUGAUCGAAGAAUAUAUGAUCUUGGUAUGGGCGGUAUAGGAAAAAAGUUACUCUUUCAAUGGUGGAGGUAUGACUCCUAUAUGUUAAAAUGUUUUCACAGAGUGUACCUCUUUUCUUCCCCACCCCACCCAUAUUUUUUAGAUUUUUUAGCAUGGUAACCUUCAUCUGUAGAUCGUUCAUGGACCUUGAUAUUUGUGCAUUAUUUGUUAGCCAAUAAAUCUUGCUCGAGCUACCUAUGAUCAUUUUUCAAUGAAUUCCCACUUCGCAAGUAUGUUCCAUGCAUAUUUGCAAGUUACAAAUAACUCAUUUAUGUUCAUCUUAGUCGCUCAAAAAUGCCAACGGCAACUGCCGUGCACGUAUACAAUCGUCAACAAUGACUUAUUUCAUUUAUUUAUCUCGAACUCAAAGUUGUAUUUUAAUGACAUCCGAAACACAGCUUCCUUCCAGCAAUUUUUAUUUUUAUUUUUAUUUUUGUUUCAAAUAGCUGCUCGACAUGUAAAUCCUUAUCAUUGGAAAUCAAAUGAGAAGAUUAUAGGACGGUCCACUCGAUUAAGCUCUUGGGCUUCCACAACGCUUAUAUAUCUGAUGGGAUAAAACAAUCAAAUCCUUAUUUGUCAUUUCAUUUUUAUUCUCGUUGUCGUGGAUUACCAACAAAGUUCUGUGUGUAAUAGCGAGAUCACGAUGAUGAGUAACUCUCUUAGGAAUAACUACAUCAUCUUGGCGAGCUAUCUCGACCGUGUCCCAAAAAUCAUUGGCAUUCUCAUUCACUUCAUUCGAAUCUUCGUAUUUACCUUCAUUCGAAUGGAUGAAUCCUCGUUGAAUAUAAAUCUCAGUUCCAUGUCAUACUGAGAGGGUUAACAUUCAACUUUCGUAAGUCAUAGUAUAUUCCCACGUACGAUAUACUUUCUGUUAUGAAAAUUGAAAUACUAUCACGUAUAUCACUAGUCCAGUUCCAUAUUUAUCGAUCAUUUUCAUCCAAUUUCCAAGAUUCUACCAAUUGACAUUGCAUUGGAUAAUGCUUGAUAUUAUUGAUUUUGCAUCAAAUUGGUGUAAUUCACUAAUGAGCUCAUAUAUUGUUAUUCUCAACUUGCACGCACGGUUAGAAUUGAACAUUUGUAAUUAGGGCCCAUUAUUUCCUUAUUAAAAAAAUUAUGGUAUGAAUUACUCAUUGAACAAGUAUAUGCACAUUAUUUUUUUAUACAUAUAUUUUUACUUGUAGAUGAUGGCUAUUGAAUGCAUUGACUUUAUCUCGGGUGAAUGGAUGACUUCGAAAGAUGGUCGGUAUUGCAUGUAUGUUAAAGAAGUUCACACGUGGAUGACAUAUCUAGAUUUUCUGGGCUUCCACCACUUUGUGAGAUCCCAUUACUAUAUUGACUAUUUCAAGGCCACUACUAUGGUGUACUUAUUUUCAGAUAGUUUUUCUGAAGAAUAAAUUUGUCCGUGUGCUCUUUGAUAUGUAGAAUAAAUAAUAGUACAAAUAGGUUGGUUAUGGUUGUAAGGUAUGGUAUGUAGUGCAACUUUUGUGUAGUGCGACUUUUGUGUAAUGCAAAUUUUGUGUAGUUGCUAGUCUUUAUUAUGCCUUUUGCAAUGUAACAAAGUAUGUAAGAAAAAUUUCAACUAUCUUAUAGUUGGUGUUGCUUUCCUAUUUCACGCCUUACAAAUUGUCAAAAAAUUUUCUCUUCACAAAGUAUUCAAAAUUUGCAAUCUCUAUACAUAAGUUUAAAGUUAAAUGACAUGAUUGGGAGCUGACAAUUAUGAGCUGACAAUUAUGGUAUUAGAGCC